AAGUAAUCCUCGUGUGUGACAGAGAGAGAGAGAGAGAGAGAGAGAGAAACGAGCUGGCGGAGAGGAGCAGAAGGCAGGAGGGGAAAUCUGGCACAACGGCUGGGAGAGGAAACUUGAUGCUUCUGGGCCACCAUUUGCCAGGGCCUCGCUCGAGACGCCGAAAGGAGCCUGUUUGUGUGCUGCGGCCGUGCUGUGACUCUGGAUCUUGUCUUUCAGCCGGCGCCUCUGUUCCUGCCCAGCUGGAUUUGGGGGGCAGCAUUGCCUGGCGCAGGGAGAUCAAAUGAGACUGCAAAGAAGCAUAAAAUGAAUAGACAAUCCAACCAACCAAAGACCGGGGGCAGCAGCAGGCCAGCAAGACGGCAUCUUCUCCUUCCCAGCCUAGAAGCCCUGUGAAAUCGAGGAUCUUCCCCCUAAAACACAUACACACAAGAAAUGUGCAAUCAAGCUGCCACCGCUUGGUAAAAAGCUCAUGGUGCCUAACCAAAAAGGAUCAGGAACAGAUCCUUGAAUCAGCUGUCACUUCUAUAGAAUGGGAUGUUUUUUUUUUCCUUCCUCCUUAACCUGCGCUGGAAA
rnacentral:lncRNA from 1 species